rnacentral:lncRNA from 1 species
CUCCAACCCCAGUUAAGCAGAUCUGAGCAGCUGAUCAAGGAUCACCAGAAACUCUGCAGAACAUUGGUCCUCCAGCCCAGGACUGGACACCAGUGUUUGUCUGUCUCAGAAGCUGAAGAAAAGAGGCCACACCUCAGAGGAAAUAAGCGCCUCCUAAGUGUACGGAAAUACCUGGCUGAGAAGAUCAGUGACAUAAACCAGAUAAAACUGUCAGUGGUAAGUAUUUACAUAUCCAUAUCCGAAUGUAAUUACUACAACCUCUUAUAUGAUUUGAAGUGAAUAGAGACUAUGUAUUAUUGGUUUUUUUUUACUUUGUAAUUGCUUUUGUUCUAGAUGUAAAAUAAAAAGUAGAAUUAUUAUUAAGAAAAGAUCCAUUGAUGUAUGGUUUGUUAGGAGGACAAUAUUUGUCUGAGAUACAACUAUUUGAAAAUCUGGAAUCUGAGGGUGCAAAAAAAUCUAAAUAUUGCGAAAAAUAUUUGAAGUCCAAAGCAAAGCAUUUUUUUUAAUCAAAAAUAAAGUUUUGAUACAUUUAUGGUAGGAAAUUUACAAAAUAUAUUCAUGGAACAUGAUCUUUACUUAAAAUCCUAAUGAUUUUUGGCAUGAAAGAAAAAUCGAUAAUUUUGUCCCAUACAAUGUUUUGUUGCCUAUUGCUAUAAAUAAACCCCAGCGACUUAAAACUAAAUAUUUGAAGUCCAAAGCAAAGCAUUUUAUUAAUCAAAAAUAAAGUUUUGAUACAUUUAUGGUAGGAAAUUUACAAAAUAUAUUCAUGGAACAUGAUCUUUACUUAAAAUCCUAAUGAUUUUUGGCAUGAAAGAAAAAUCGAUAAUUUUGUCCCAUACAAUGUUUUGUUGCCUAUUGCUAUAAAUAAACCCCAGCGACUUAAAACUGCUUUUGUGCUCCAGGGACACAUUUAUUCACUCACUCAUAACAACAAACAACACUGAACUACACCUAAACCAUUGAGAUAUUCAACACAGCAGACAAUAAUUAAUGACAAUAUGCAUCUAUUAAAGCAGCGUAUAAGAUAAAUUAAAAAUUAUCUGCUUUAAAAAAUGUGUCCAUGGACAAAAGUUCAUAUCUGUCAAGAAUUUGAAUCUGCUCAAAGUGCCCCAAAGUGUUGGACGAAUUUAAUCAUGAUGAUGUUUUGUCAACAACUAAGUUUUUGCUAACUUUUUGAGUAUUAUAAAUAUAUGUAUGGAUAAUCUCACAUACUGGUAAUGUGGUUUAAGUGGUACAUUGUCCUAACAAAUUUUCCUUCUCUUUUGCAGGUCUAAGACAGCUACAAUGAAGCCACAAAUGCAGUUCAUAGUUCCUGUAUUUCUAUAAUGCAUUAAUGAAUAACAAUAAUUUAAAAAAAAUGUAAUGUCAAGGUUUUGUGUUAAUUCCAGCUAUGUUGAGUAUUCUGUGAAUAAUUUAGAUUUUAGGUGCAUAUUCUUAAUUCUUUGCAAAACAACCUGAACUGUUUGCUAUUGAAAGGUUGGUA